UGUAACCUACGGGGGGCAGCAGUGGGGAAUAUUGGGCAAUGGGCGCAAGCCUGACCCAGCAACGCCGCGUGAAGGAAGAAGGCUUUCGGGUUGUAAACUUCUUUUAAGAGGGAAGAGCAGAAGAUGGUACCUCUUGAAUAAGCCACGGCUAACUACGUGCCAGCAGCCGCGGUAAUACGUAGGUGGCAAUCGUUGUCCGGAUUUACUGGGUGUAAAGGGCGUGCAGCCGGGAAGACAAGUCAGAUGUGAAAUCCCGCGGCUCAACCGCGGAACUGCAUUUGAAACUGUUUUUCUUGAGCACCGUG
rnacentral:rRNA from 1 species